UACGUAGGUGGCAAGCGUUGUCCGGAUUUACUGGGCGUAAAGGAUGCGUAGGCGGACAUUUAAGUCAGAUGUGAAAUACCCGAGCUUAACUUGGGUGCUGCAUUUGAAGCUGGGUGUCUAGAGUGCAGGAGAGGUAAGUGGAAUUCCUAGUGUAGCGGUGAAAUGCGUAGAGAUUAGGAAGAACACCAGUGGCGAAGGCGACUUACUGGACUGUAACUGACGCUGAGGCAUGAAAGCGUGGGGAGCAAACAGG
rnacentral:rRNA from 1 species